AACCGCACGGGAUAAUCAUUUUCCCGUGCGGUCAGAUUAAGGGGACCGCACGGGGAUAAUCGAUUAUCCCGUGCGGUC
rnacentral:pre_miRNA from 11 species